AGCCGGGUAGGGUAGUGGUCAAUCCUUCGAGGCUCUGGACCUUGAGACGGUGGUUCGAAUCCGCCCCCGGCUAC
rnacentral:tRNA from 9 species